GGCCAGCAGCCGCGGUAAUACGUAGGGUGCGAGCGUUGUCCGGAAUUAUUGGGCGUAAAGGGCUCGUAGGCGGUUUGUCGCGUCAGGAGUGAAAACUCGGGGCUUAACUCCGAGCCUGCUUCUGAUACGGGCAGACUAGAGGUAUGCAGGGGAGAACGGAAUUCCUGGUGUAGCGGUGAAAUGCGCAGAUAUCAGGAGGAACACCGGUGGCGAAGGCGGUUCUCUGGGCAUUACCUGACGCUGAGGAGCGAAAGUGUGGGGAGCGAACAGGAUUAGAUACCCUGGUAGUCCACACCGUAAACGUUGGGCGCUAGGUGUGGGACUCAUUCCACGAGUUCCGUGCCGCAGCUAACGCAUUAAGCGCCCCGCCUGGGGAGUACGGCCGCAAGGCUAAAACUCAAAGGAAUUGACGGGGGCCCGCACAAGC
rnacentral:rRNA from 1 species